rnacentral:rRNA from 1 species
CCUACGGGAGGCAGCAGUGGGGAAUAUUGCACAAUGGGGGAAACCCUGAUGCAGCGACGCCGCGUGAGUGAAGAAGUAUUUCUGUAUGUAAAGCUCUAUCAGCAGGGAAGAAGCAAGACGGUACCUGACUCAGACGCCCCGGCUAACUACGUGCCAGCAGCCGCGGUAAGACGCAGGGCGCAAGCGUUAUCCGGAUUUACUGGGUGUAAAGGGAGCGUAGACGGUAUGGCAAGUCUGAAGUGAAAGCCCCGGGGCUAACCCUGGGACUGCUGUGGAAACUGUUAGACUAGAGUGCUGGAGAGGUAUGUGGAAUGCGUGGUGUAGCGGUGAAAUGCGUAGAUAUUAGGAGGAACACCAGUGGCGAAGGCGGCUUACUGGACAGUAACUGACGUUGAGGCUCGAAAGCGUGGGGAGCAAACAGGAUUAGAUACCCCUGUAGUC